AACCUCUGGUGUACCUGUUGUGGCGCCAGCCGCACCGCAGGGUAGCCAAGUUUGGAUGAGAUAAGUGCUGAAAGCAUCUAAGUACGAAACUCACCUCAAGAUGAGGCUUCAUUUAAGGGUCGUUAAAGACGAUGACGUUGAUAGGUUGCAGAUGUAAAGUCAGUAAUGGCAAAGUCAAGCAAUACUAAUAACCCGAAUACUUGCUCAA
rnacentral:rRNA from 1 species